GCCGAAAUAGCUCAGUUGGGAGAGCGUUAGACUGAAGAUCUAAAGUCCUGGUUCAUCCCGGGUUUCGGCA
rnacentral:tRNA from 1 species